CCUACGGGGCGCAGCAGUGAGGAAUAUUGGUCAAUGGCCGAGAGGCUGAACCAGCCAAGUCGCGUGAGGGAAGACGGCCCUACGGGUUGUAAACCUCUUUUGUCGGGGAGCAAAGCGAGUCACGUGUGACUCAUUGGGAGUACUCUAAGAAUAAGCACCGGCUAACUACGUGCCAGCAGCCGCGGUAAUACGUAGGGUGCGAGCGUUAAUCGGAAUUACUGGGCGUAAAGGGUGCGCAGGCGGUUGAG
rnacentral:rRNA from 1 species